rnacentral:rRNA from 1 species
CGCCCGCCGCGCGCGGCGGGCGGGGCGGGGGCACGGGGGGCCUACGGGAGGCAGCAGUGGGGAACAUUAGGCAAUGGGCGAAAGCCUGACCUAGCGACGCCGCGUGAGGGAAGAUGGCCUUCGGGUUGUAAACCUCUGUUGUACGGGACGAAGCGAGUGACGGUACCGUAAGAGGAAGCCACGGCUAACUACGUGCCAGCAGCCGCGGUAAU